UGAAAAUGAAUUUUUUUUUUGUUUGCAACUAUAUUAUUUUAUGAGAUAGCAAAUGACAUAAAACGUGGGGAUUUAGGUCAAAGAACAGUUUUCCUGAUUGCCAGGUUGGCAGAACUUGUGUAACUAAAGUAUGCAUACUGAUAAUUGAUGUGCACAGUGACCCCCAAACAGGAAGUGCCCUUGGAAUCAUAAGUCUAAUAGUCAUUUAUUCAACCCCUACUGUGAGAAAUACAGUAGGGAUUAUAGAUUAUAAGGCGCUGCCUGCACAGAUUUUGCAUUCUAGUUAGAGAAGGGAAUGCCAUAAAGUUCAAAAAAGUGUAGGCUGGUGGGCAGAGAGGAGGGGAGCAAGGAUGGUUGCUUUUCAUGACGUCUUUCCACGGUAGUUGAUUUUUGAAACUGUGCUAUGUGUUUUACUUACAUAAAAGUUUAAGAGGUAAAUAAUGAUAGCAAUGGGAAAGAAGGAACAGAUGUAAUAAGCAUAGGAAGAAUACUGCUCCAGCCCGAAACCGGAUAGGGGAAGUUGGGUACAUAUGGACCUCUCCCUCUGCUUCAUGUCCCUGAUCUAUCAAUAAGUUCAUUGUCUCCAGAAUCUCCCACAGAUUCCUCCUCAUCCUCAUCCUCCCCAACACUGCCUCAAGCUGCAAAGACCUCCUCACCAUUAACCUUCCUCUGGUGCAUGAAUUCUUGACAUUUGUUGACCCCUUUGGCAGUACUUCCCAUCCUAUGGAACUCUUCUCACAAUAAGGUGCUUGGAUUAUAAAAUAAGGUACAAAAUAUGAAUUGUAUUAAAAUGUAAAUAUCAACUUAUUUUUCAAGUUGUGACAUAGUACAUAGGCUUAUUAAUUCAUCAAAUAACAAGACGUACAAGAUCUAAUAUCUAUAUUAAGUUCAGUAAAAGUGUAGCAGGUUAUUUUGAGAUAUCUUCAACAGCUGUAAUGAUAUACCAAAAAACCCAAUUUUUAUAGGUGAUAAAUUCACAUUUUCUGCUAAUUCCACUGUGAUCUGUUGCCUAGACUCAUAUUUAAAGGAAAUACUAAAUUUCAGUCACAGGAUAGUGACAAUGACAAUAUAAUUCUUUUUUCCAACUUAAGCUCACAGAUCCCAAGCAUUCUGUCCAUGGAUCCCUUGCAAGUCCAGGCACCCAGUUAAGAAGCUCUGAUCUAGGGUCAUGUCCCUCCAGAACAACCUCCACCUUGCCACCAGAUCUGAUGCUGUCACUCUUACCCUCAAAGCCUUCAAUGGCUCUCUCACUUCCCAGGUAUAAUACAAACUCUUCUGAAAGGGAGGCAAAGCCCUCCAUGCUCUGUCCGCUGCCCCCCCCCACACACACACACGCCCCCAGCUUGCCAGCCACCUCAUCCUCUAUGCCCAGGUCAAAAGCUGCCUCCACUCUGAUGCCUUCCUUGACUUCCCCAACCAGACCCAGGUAGUUCUUCUCUGUGUCCAUUACUCUAUGGGCAUAUGGUUGUCCUGGAGUAUCUGAGGGGAACUGGUCACAGGACCUCCCAUGGAUGCCCAAGUCCUCACAUGGCUCAGGUCCCUUAUAUAAAAUACCCUAUGGGCUGGGGAUGUGGCUCAAGCGGUAGCGCGCUCGCCUGGCAUGCGUGCGGCCCGGGUUCGAUCCUCAGCACCACAUACCAACAAAGAUGUUGUGUCCGCCGAGAACUAAAAAAUAAAUAUUAAAAUUCUCUCUCUCUUUAAAAAAAAUAAAAUAAAAUACCCUAGUAUUUGCAUAUAACUUACACACACCUUCCUGUGUGCCUUAAAUCAUCUUUAGAUUACUUAUCAUACCUAACACAACAUAAAUGCUAUGUAAAUAGUUGUUAUGCUUUAUUGUUUAGAAAUAAUGACAAAGACAGGUGUGAUGGCACACAUAAUCCCAGCAGCUGAGGCAGGAGGACUGUGAGUUCAAAACCAGCUUCAGCAACUUAGGGAAGCCCUAAGCAAUUUAGCAAGACUCUGUCUCUAAAUAAAAAAUAUAAAAAAGGAGCAUAUAUUUUUUAUAUAAAAAUAUAAAAAGGGGGAUGUAGCUCACUUGUCAACUACCCCCCUGGGUUCAAUUCCUGCUACAAAAAAAAAAAAAAAAAAAAAGCCCCAAAGCUAAUAUUGUUUAUCUGUGAUUGUUAGAUCCAUAGAUUCAGAACCCACAGAUACAGAGGGCUGACUACCUCCAUUGUAGCCAUCAAGUUAUGGUAUAAUGGUCCUCCCUUAUCUAAAGUUUCACUGAUCUGCUGUCUGAAAGUAUUAAAUAGAAAAUUUCAGAAAUAACAAUUCCUAAGUUUUUUUCUGGAGUGUAUGUGUGUGUUGCUGAUGGUCGAACAGGGCUUUCUUUUUUUUUUUUUUUCUUCUUCUUUUUUUUUUUUUUGCAUAGUAGGUAAGCAUUCUACUAUAAAUUUUAAAUAACUUUUAUUAGUUGUUAAUCUCAUACUGUGACUAAAAAUUAAACUUGUAUCAUAGGUAUGUAUAUAUAGGAAAAAUAACAUAGUAUAUAUAGUGUUCAGCACAGUUUCAAGCAUCCCCUGGGGGUCUUGGAAUGUAUCACACAAAGAUAAGGGAGACAACUAUCCUAAAAUUGCUGGCACAGUGUCUCCUGUUACACAGAAUCUCCUUCAGGUCAAUUCAGUAAUUUUUUUUUUUUUAUUUUCUCCAGGACCCUGUCUUGUGCAUGGCACCAGUAGAUGUUUAGUAAAUAUGUGUUGAAUAUCUGAGUAAAUAAACCAAUGGAUGUAUAACUAAAUAAAUGAAAGAGAUCAAUAUGAAGAAGGAGGUAUGAAUAAUGCUAAGUUUCUAAUCUGG
rnacentral:lncRNA from 1 species